AAUGUAGAUUGUAUGAAUAUUGCUAGCCAUUAUCAAACUGCCUCAGUAGGCCUAGAGCUGAACAAAUUUAGAAUUUCUCGUUAUUCUCAAAAUGGAUCUGCUGAGUAUUGAACCAGCAAAUGCAUAGGACUGUGUUCAACACAAAAGUUUCAAGGUAGGCUGUUGGUGUAAAGCAUAAAGAAAAAUAUUAUGUCCUUUAUAUUCAACUAGCUGAUGCCCACAUAUGGGACCUUUAAUUUUCCAGGAUAUAAGGUAUCCUCAUAUGCUUAAGAAUCAAGAUGCAAUCCUUGCCAUGUUUUGUUGCGAGGAGGUAGUAAUAGAAAGUUUUUGUAUUAUUAUAAUAUUGGUAUAGAUUUAGCAUUAGCUACAGGCAUUAUUUUAUUGAUAAAUGUAAAUAAAAGGCAGUACUUCGUUAUUUUCUUAGUUUAUUAAUACAUGUUCAUUUAUUAUUUCUAAUAUAAAAUUCAAUAUUGAUGGCAAGUUCGUACACAUUUUAGUCUACUAAAGAAUUAAAUGCAAUAAUCUUUGUGACACUAAUGGUUGUCACUGACCUAAACAGCUCUAAGGCGCCAUCUCCACUUACGAAAGAAUCUCAACAAGUCUGCCUGUUGGGAGUUAAACCUCAUACGGUUAAAUAAUUACGUCAAAAUAGGAUCACCGCGAUUCUCUCAUCUGGGUGGAGAUGGUGCUUAACACAGGACCUCUUUAGUGUACUCAAAUGCAGACUUGAAAAAAGUAAAAAAGCAAGUUGUCAUUGCAAAUGGUUUCCUGAAAAGACUUCCUGAAGUUGACCAGAAGAAGACUUUCAAUACUUUAUGUAUUGGAAUGGUCCUAAGUCGGUAACAACCAUUAUUUUACCUGACUCAUUGAUUAUGUUAUUAGCAUAUUACAAUGAAAAAAUAUUGUAACCAUAACAACACAAACAAGUCAAUUUCUGUAACACAAAAUAUACCAAAUAUGAGUGAUUAAAAUUGAAACUUAAAAAUAAAACCUAUUCACAAUU